rnacentral:pre_miRNA from 13 species
GUCGUCUCUGGAAGCCGUGUGCAUCCGGGUUGAGGUAGUAGGUUGUAUGGUUUAGAGUCACACCCCGGGAGUUAACUGUACAACCUUCUAGCUUUCCUUAGAGCACACUCGGUUCUUCGCGGGAGUC